rnacentral:rRNA from 1 species
UACGGAGGGGGCUAGCGUUGUUCGGAAUUACUGGGCGUAAAGCGCACGUAGGCGGCUUUGUAAGUAAGAGGUGAAAGCCCGGAGCUCAACUCCGGAACUGCCUUUUAGACUGCAUCGCUUGAAUCCAGGAGAGGUGAGUGGAAUUCCGAGUGUAGAGGUGAAAUUCGUAGAUAUUCGGAAGAACACCAGUGGCGAAGGCGGCUCACUGGACUGGUAUUGACGCUGAGACUCGAAAGCGUGGGGAGCGAACAGG